UACGAAGGGUGCAAGCGUUACUCGGAAUUACUGGGCGUAAAGCGUGCGCAGGUGGUUUGUUAAGUCUGUUGUGAAAGCCCCGGGCUCAACCUGGGAAUGGCAAUGGAUACUGGCAAGCUAGAGUGCGGUAGAGGGUAGUGGAAUUCCCGGUGUAGCGGUGAAAUGCGUAGAGAUCGGGAGGAACACCAGUGGCGAAGGCGGCUACCUGGACCAGCACUGACACUGAGGCACGAAAGCGUGGGGAGCAAACAGG
rnacentral:rRNA from 1 species